AGUGAACGCUGGCGGUAGGCCUAACACAUGCAAGUCGAACGGCAGCACAGUAAGUGCUUGCUCUUACGGGUGGCGAGUGGCGGACGGGUGAGGAAUACAUCCGAAUCUACUUUUUCGUGGGGGAUAACGUAGGGAAACUUACGCUAAUACCGCAUACGACCUACGGGUGAAAGCAGGGGAUCUUCGGACCUUGCGCGAUUGUAUGAGCCGAUGUCUGAUUAGAUAGUUGGGGGGGUAAAGGCCCACCAAGGCGGCGAUCCGGAGCUGGUAUGAGAGGAUGAACAGGCAAACUGGAACGGGGACAAGGGCCAGACCCCUAAGGGAGGGAGCAGUGGGGAAUAUUGGACAAUGGGGGCAAGCCUGAUCCAGCCAGACCGCGUGGGGGAAGAAGGGCUCCGGGUUGUAAAGGCAUUUUGUUGGGAAAGAAAAGCAGCAGGUUAAUACCCCGCUGUUCUGACGGUAACCAAAGAAUAAGCACCGGCUAAAUUCGUGC
rnacentral:rRNA from 1 species